rnacentral:rRNA from 1 species
CGGAGGGAUCAUUACCGAGUUUACAACUCCCAAACCCCUGUGAACAUACCACUUGUUGCCUCGGCGGAUCAGCCCGCUCCCGGUAAAACGGGACGGCCCGCCAGAGGACCCCUAAAACUCUGUUUCUAUAUGUAACUUCUGAGUAAAACCAUAAAUAAAUCAAAACUUUCAACAACGGAUCUCUUGGUUCUGGCAUCGAUGAAGAACGCAGCAAAAUGCGAUAAGUAAUGUGAAUUGCAGAAUUCAGUGAAUCAUCGAAUCUUUGAACGCACAUUGCGCCCGCCAGUAUUCUGGCGGGCAUGCCUGUUCGAGCGUCAUUUCAACCCUCAAGCACAGCUUGGUGUUGGGACUCGCGUUAAUUCGCGUUCCUCAAAUUGAUUGGCGGUCACGUCGAGCUUCCAUAGCGUAGUAGUAAAACCCUCGUUACUGGUAAUCGUCGCGGCCACGCCGUUAAACCCCAACUUCUGAAUGUUGACCUCGGAUCAGGUAGGAAUACCCGCUGAACUUAAGCAUAUCAAUAAGCGGAGGAAAAGAAACCAACAGGGAUUGCCCUAGUAACGGCGAGUGAAGCGGCAACAGCUCAAAUUUGAAAUCUGGCUCUCGGGCCCGAGUUGUAAUUUGUAGAGGAUACUUUUGAUGCGGUGCCUUCCGAGUUCCCUGGAACGGGACGCCAUAGAGGGUGAGAGCCCCGUCUGGUUGGAUGCCAAAUCUCUGUAAAGUUCCUUCAACGAGUCGAGUAGUUUGGGAAUGCUGCUCUAAAUGGGAGGUAUAUGUCUUCU